rnacentral:rRNA from 1 species
GCAAAAGAAGUAGGUAGCUUAACCUUCGGGAGGGCGCUUACCACUUUGUGAUUCAUGACUGGGGUGAAGUCGUAACAAGGUAACCGUAGGGGAACCUGCGGUUGGAUCACCUCCUUACCUGAAAGA